rnacentral:rRNA from 1 species
GGUUGACCUCGGAUCAGGUAGGGAUACCCGCUGAACUUAAGCAUAUCAAUAAGCGGAGGAAAAGAAACCAACCGGGAUUGCCUCAGUAACGGCGAGUGAAGCGGCAACAGCUCAAAUUUGAAAUCUGGCUCCGUGCGGGGUCCGAGUUGUAAUUUGUAGAGGGUGUUUCGGGUGCGGUGCCGGUCUAAGUUCCUUGGAACAGGACGUCAUAGAGGGUGAGAAUCCCGUCUGCGAGUCGGCCACCAACCCCGGGUGAAACCCCUUCGACGAGUCGAGUUGUUUGGGAAUGCAGCUCAAAAUGGGUGGUAAAUUUCAUCUAAAGCUAAAUACCGGCCAGAGACCGAUAGCGCACAAGUAGAGUGAUCGAAAGAUGAAAAGCACUUUGGAAAGAGAGUUAAAAAGUACGUGAAAUUGUUGAAAGGGAAGCGCUUGCGACCAGACCUGUUCCCGGGCGAUCAUCCGCCAUUCGUGGCGGUGCACUCUCCCGGACGCAGGCCAGCAUCGGUUUGGGCGGCGGGACAAAGGGCUCGGGAAUGUAGCUCCCUCCGGGGAGCCUUAUAGCCCGGGUCGCCAUGCCGCCCGCCCGGACCGAGGACCGCGCUUCGGCUAGGAUGCUGGCGUAAUGGUCGCAAGCGACCCGUCUUGAAACACGGACCAAGGAGUCUACCAUCCAUGCGAGUGUUUGGGUGUCAAACCCAGGCGCGGAAUGAAAGUGAACGGAGGUGAGACCCCGCGAGGGCGCAUCAUCGACCGAUCCAGAUGUCUUCGGAUGGAUUUGAGUACGAGCAUGGCUGGUGGGACCCGAAAGAUGAUGAACUAUGCCUGAAUAGGGUGAAGCCAGAGGAAACUCUGGUGGAGGCUCGCAGCGGUUCUGACGUGCAAAUCGAUCGUCGAAUUUGGGUAUAGGGGCGA